GUUGUUUAUAAUGGACAACAAAUUCAGCUGCCUAUGAUGGAACUCCUUCGGGCUCAAAAGUUGACUGCCUUCGAGCGUUCUGUAAAGUUUCAUCUUUUCUUUGAUUCAUUCUCUUUUCUGUCUGGGUUCCUCAUUUGUCUAUCUGCCUGUGCGAAAACUCAAUUCUUUUAGGGCACUCAAUCAGCUUAAGCUGAAUGCUUAUUCCGCUUAAUCAUGACUCUGGAACCAACUAACAGUUGAUGGAAGCGGCUAAGUCGGAACAGUGGCAUGGCAACAGGGAGGCUUCACCAGAUCCAGUGGAUCACUAUAGAAGAUUCUAGAAGCAAGCUACGCUACCUUCUGGCUAGCUCGUGCAAUCUUAGAAAAAUUCCUUCGCACUUAGCUUAGUAAGCUAGCUUGGUAAGCUAAGCAAGCCUGGUUCUCCGGGCAUUAUGGUAGGACGUGGAUCGAUCAUGAUGAGAAUGGACUUCUCUGUAAUGUAAUGGUUUAGUCACGGUCCAGGGGUUGGGUCUCGACCAACCAGACGAAGGAGAUAUGAAUUCCAUUCAGGCAGGUAAGGAAGGGGGGCUUGGCUUGACCGUGUGUUCUCUCUU
rnacentral:lncRNA from 1 species